AGAGUUUGAUCAUGGCUCAGGAUGAACGCUAGCGGCAGGCUUAACACAUGCAAGUCGAGGGGCAGCACUUGUAGCAAUACAUGGUGGCGACCGGCGCAAGGGUGCGUAACGCGUGAGCAACAUGCCCGUAUCAGGGGGAUAAUCCAGGGAAACUUGGUCUAAUACCCCAUAGCAAUUAUUUGAGGCAUCUUAAAUAAUUUAAAGCUUUGGUGGAUACGGAUUGGCUCGCGUGACAUUAGCUAGUUGGUGAGGUAACGGCUCACCAAGGCAAUGAUCUUUAGGGGCCUGAGAGGGUGAUCCCCCACACUGGUACUGAGACACGGACCAGACUCCUACGGGAGGCAGCAGUGAGGAAUAUUGGUCAAUGGGUGCAAGCCUGAACCAGCCAUCCCGCGUGAAGGACGACUGCCCUAUGGGUUGUAAACUUCUUUUGUAUAGGGAUAAACCUUUCCACGUGUGGAAAGCUGAAGGUACUAUACGAAUAAGCACCGGCUAACUCCGUG
rnacentral:rRNA from 1 species